UGCCAGCCGCCGCGGUAAUACGGAGGGGGUUAGCGUUGUUCGGAAUUACUGGGCGUAAAGCGCACGUAGGCGGAUCAGAAAGUAAGGGGUGAAAUCCCAGGGCUCAACCCUGGAACUGCCUCUUAAACUCCUGGUCUAGAGUUCGAGAGAGGUGAGUGGAAUUCCGAGUGUAGAGGUGAAAUUCGUAGAUAUUCGGAGGAACAUCAGUGGCGAAGGCGGCUGCCUGGCUCAAUACUGACACUGAGGUGCGAAAGCGUGGGGAGCAAACAGGAUUAGAUA
rnacentral:rRNA from 1 species